UACGUAGGUGGCAAGCGUUGUCCGGAUUUACUGGGCGUAAAGGGCGUGCAGGCGGUCUGUUAAGUUCAGGGUGAAAGCUCCCGGCUCAACUGGGGAGAGGUCCUUGGAUACUGGCAGACUUGAGGGAGGUAGAGGGGGAGUGGAAUUCCCGGUGUAGUGGUGAUAUGCGUAGAUAUCGGGAGGAACACCAGUGGCGAAGGCGGCUCUCUGGGGCCUUUUCCUGACGCUGAGACGCGAAAGCGUGGGGGAGCGAACCGG
rnacentral:rRNA from 1 species